UCCACUUGGUGACUUUAAAUUGCUGAUUUAAAUCAACUUACCCUAGGUUGAGCUGUUAAAUUUUGGGUUCAGAGUAGGAACUGAACUGAAAUUUUGGAUAGUUCUUACUUCAACCAAGUUAAGGCCCCUAGCCACAAAGCUACUUAGGCACCUGAGUUUGGGGGGUUUAGGCACCACUAUGAUCUAUAAGAUGUGCAUCAAACCCUGUAGGCACUACAUUCACUAGGUGCCUAAAUUUUCAGGCUAGAUGUUCCCUGGGUACAUAAACUUCUACAUCUGAGCAUGCACACUGCUGCCACCCUCUGAGUGCCGAAGCAUCUAUCUCCCCCCUAAGCCACAAAGCAAAUUGAUGAACGAUGAAAAUAAGUACGUGCCUGCCUAUCUCAUGUGUGGGAUCCAGUCCAGUAGGUGAGCUCAGAGUUUGCCUGCUGGCUCACAUCCCAUUCAAAAUUGGCCAGGAGUCGUUAUGCUCCUGAUAAUUUUUAGUCCAGUGGUUAGAGCACUCACUUGGAAUGUGGGAAAACCCAGGGUCAAUUCUCUCCUCUGCCUGAGUGGGGAAAAAGAUUUGAACUAGGAUCUCCCAUCUCUGAGGAGACUGUAGCUCAGUGGUUAGAACAAGGUGUGCAUCUAGGCAGGGUUUACCCAUGAAGAGGAGUGUUUGCCUCUCCCAUUGGCUGGCUUAGGAAGCUUCUUACCUCCCAUGCUGACUUGUGUGGAUCACAGUCUUAGACACCUCUCUCUCAUUGUAUAGGAGCCUACACACCUGACUCGGAUGUUGUGGAUUGCUGCGUUGUUCCUGUGAUUUCCUAAGUGCCUAGAAGUUAGGCAUUGCAACAUCCAAGUCCUUUUGUGGAGCCAGGCCUAGGUGACUUAUCCUAAACUGCUGUUGUACUGCUUUGCAAGUGUCCUUGAAUACUGGACUGCCUGCAUCAUCCACUGGGCAGAGGCUAAAGAACCUCAGGAAAAAGCCGCAAAAAAGCAGAGACGACAUGCUGAAAGCAGUUAUGGAUCACUCUGCCAGAGAGAG